GAUGAACGCUGGCGGCGUGCUUAACACAUGCAAGUCGAACGAUGAAGCCCAGCUUGCUGGGUGGAUUAGUGGCGAACGGGUGAGUAACACGUGAGUAACCUGCCCUUAACUCUGGGAUAAGCCUGGGAAACUGGGUCUAAUACCGGAUAGGAGCGCCUACCGCAUGGUGGGUGUUGGAAAGAUUUAUCGGUUUUGGAUGGACUCGCGGCCUAUCAGCUUGUCGGUGGGGUAAUGGCUCACCAAGGCGGCGACGGGUAGCCGGCCGGAGAGGGGGACCGGCCACAGGGGGACGGAGAUAGGGCGGAGAGGCCGACGGGAGGGGGAAGGGGGGGAGGGGGCGGAAGGGGGGGGAGUGUGGUGGGGCAGAGAGGAGGGAGGGAGGACGGCCGUGGGGAUGGAAACAGGGAGCGGCGGGGAAGAAGGGGGAGGGAGGGGAAGGGGUAAAGAAGCACCGGAAAACUAAGUG
rnacentral:rRNA from 1 species